rnacentral:rRNA from 1 species
AUUGAACGCUGGCGGCAGGCUUAACACAUGCAAGUCGAGCGGGGUGAUGGUGCUUGCACUAUCACUUAGCGGCGGACGGGUGAGUAAUGCUUAGGAAUCUGCCUAUUAGUGGGGGAUAACAUCUCGAAAGGGAUGCUAAUACCGCAUACGCCCUACGGGAGAAAGCAGGGGAUCACUUGUGACCUUGCGCUAAUAGAUGAGCCUAAGUCGGAUUAGCUAGUUGGUGGGGUAAAGGCCUACCAAGGCGACGAUCUGUAGCGGGUCUGAGAGGAUGAUCCGCCACACUGGGACUGAGACACGGCCCAGACUCCUACGGGAGGCAGCAGUGGGGAAUAUUGGACAAUGGGGGGAACCCUGAUCCAGCCAUGCCGCGUGUGUGAAGAAGGCCUUAUGGUUGUAAAGCACUUUAAGCGAGGAGGAGGCUCUUUUGGUUAAUACCCAAGAUGAGUGGACGUUACUCGCAGAAUAAGCACCGGCUAACUCUGUGCCAGCCGCCGCGGUAA